GGAGCGGGCCGGAUGGCCGCGGCGCGCGUCGGCAACGGCGCACGCCGAGGAAAGUCCGGACACCGUAGGGCAGGGUGCCAGUUAACGGCUGGGCGCGGCAACGCGACGGAAAGUGCAACAGAAAGCAGACAGCCGAUGGCCGCAGCGAUGUGGCACAGGUGAUGUUGAAAGGGUGCGGUAAGAGCGCACCAGCGGUGGCGGCAACGUCAUCGGCUCGGCAAACCCCACCCGGUGCAAUGCAGACAGGAACGAUGAGGCGGCCCGCUGAGUUCCAGGUAGCAGCUCGAGGCACACGGCGACGUGUGACCCAGAUGGAUGGUCAUCACCGCUCCUCGGAGCGGGACAGAAUCCGGCUUACAGGCCCGCUCCUCGC
rnacentral:RNase_P_RNA from 1 species